UACGUAGGGUGCAAGCGUUAAUCGGAAUUACUGGGCGUAAAGCGUACGCAGGCGGCUUUGCAAGACAGGUGUGAAAUCCCCGGGCCUAACCUGGGAACUGCAUUUGUGACUGCAUGGCUAGAGUUUGUCAGAGGGGGGUGGAAUUCCACGUGUAGCGGUGGAAUGCGCAGAUAUCAGGAGGAACACCAACGGCGAAGGCAGCUCGCUGGGACGGUACUGACGCUGAGGCGCGAAAGCGUGGGGAGCGAACAGG
rnacentral:rRNA from 1 species